rnacentral:rRNA from 1 species
AAAGCUUACCAUGCAAGUCUACUUGAUCCUUCGGGUGAAGGUGGCGGACGGGUGAGUAACGCGUAAAGAACUUGCCUUACAGACUGGGACAACAUUUGGAAACGAAUGCUAAUACCGGAUAUUAUGACUGAGUCGCAUGAUUUGGUUAUGAAAGCUAUAUGCGCUGUGAGAGAGCUUUGCGUCCCAUUAGUUAGUUGGUGAGGUAACGGCUCACCAAGACGAUGAUGGGUAGCCGGCCUGAGAGGGUGAACGGCCACAAGGGGACUGAGACACGGCCCUUACUCCUACGGGAGGCAGCAGUGGGGAAUAUUGGACAAUGGACCAAAAGUCUGAUCCAGCAAUUCUGUGUGCACGAUGAAGUUUUUCGGAAUGUAAAGUGCUUUCAGUUGGGAAGAAGUCAGUGACGGUACCAACAGAAGAAGCGACGGCAAAAUACGUGCCAGCAGCCGCGGUAAUACGUAUGUCGCAAGCGUUAUCCGGAUUUAUUGGGCGUAAAGCGCGUCUAGGCGGUUUAGUAAGUCUGAUGUGAAAAUGCGGGGCUCAACCCCGUAUUGCGUUGGAAACUGUUAAACUAGAGUACUGGAGAGGUAGGCGGAACUACAAGUGUAGAGGUGAAAUUCGUAGAUAUUUGUAGGAAUGCCGAUGGGGAAGCCAGCCUACUGGACAGAUACUGACGCUAAAGCGCGAAAGCGUGGGUAGCAAACAGGAUUAGAUACCCUGGUAGUCCACGCCGUAAACGAUGAUUACUAGGUGUUGGGGGUCGAACCUCAGCGCCCAAGCUAACGCGAUAAGUAAUCCGCCUGGGGAGUACGUACGCAAGUAUGAAACUCAAAGGAAUUNGACGGGGACCCGCACAAGCGGUGGAGCAUGUGGUUUAAUUCGACGCAACGCGAGGAACCUUUACCAGCGUUUGACAUCCCAAGAAGUUAACAAAGAUGUUUUCGUGCCUCUUCGGAAGAACUUGGUGACAGGUGGUGCAUGGCUGUCGUCAGCUCGUGUCGUGAGAUGUUGGGUUAAGUCCCGCAACGAGCGCAACCCCUUUCGUAUGUUACCAUCAUUAAGUUGGGGACUCAUGCGAGACUGCCUGCGAUGAGCAGGAGGAAGGUGGGGAUGACGUCAAGUCAUCAUGCCCCUUAUACGCUGGGCUACACACGUGCUACAAUGGGUAGUACAGAGAGCUGCAAACCUGCGAGGGUAAGCUAAUCUCAUAAAACUAUUCUUAGUUCGGAUUGUACUCUGCAACUCGAGUACAUGAAGUUGGAAUCGCUAGUAAUCGCAAAUCAGCUAUGUUGCGGUGAAUACGUUCUCGGGUCUUGUACACACCGCCCGUCACACCACGAGAGUUGGUUGCACCUGAAGUAACAGGCCUAACCGUAAGGAGGGAUNUUCCGAGGGGU